UGGCGCUAGGCGCUUCGUGAGUCGCUAC
rnacentral:sRNA from 1 species